rnacentral:rRNA from 1 species
GACGAAGGGGGCUAGCGUUGUUCGGAAUUACUGGGCGUAAAGCGCGCGUAGGUGGUUUGUUAAGUUGGAUGUGAAAGCCCCGGCUCAACCUGGGAACUGCAUCCAAAACUGGCAAGCUGGAGUACAGUAGAGGGUGGUGGAAUUUCCUGUGUAGCGGUGAAAUGCGUAGAUAUAGGAAGGAACACCAGUGGCGAAGGCGACCACCUGGACUGAUACUGACACUGAGGUGCGAAAGCGUGGGGAGCAAACAGG